GAUGCUCUGAAAGGGAAAAUCCACUCACUACCUGGAGGCACGGAGGAAAUGAUUGGGACCUGAGAUGAAGUACCAGAAGUUAUUCUUGCAUGGACUGGAGAUACAUGGAGAGCUUGGGAAAGCAUCAAGAUGGAAUCAUCCAGAGAAUCCCUGCACCUUCUUGAUACACGAAGGAGGAAAGAGUAACCACCACCUGCUGUUCAUCAUGGUUCGAUGCACUACUAGACCCAUUGGAGUCCAUCUAUGAGGGGAGAAAUAAAGCUUGUGUCAGAGAUUUCUCAGGUGCCUUAAAUGUGAGGAUCUGGCUACAGAACAUUUCAAUAAAAUGUUUGCAUUACCACAGACCAUUUAAUGGGGUGCAUUUUUUCAUCUAAUGCUGGAAUACAAAUUUCUGUGUGCUCAGUUCUUUCUUUAUGUUUAGUAUUUUGCCUUGCCUUUAUCUAGUCUGUUUGCUCCCCUGACAACCAGCUGCUCUAA